rnacentral:lncRNA from 1 species
UUUUUCCGUCCUUUCCUUUCGUUUCCUCUCCUUGACUUUCCCUGCUGUCCCUGCCCACCUUUUUCCUCUCCCUGUGGUCCUUUCCAUUCUUCAAGCAUAAAUCUAAUGAAGACACCUGACCUCAACUUCCAGUUUCAGGAGGAUGCCACACUGCUUCCUCUCCACUGAUCUGUGACCC